UACGGGGGGGGCAAGCGUUGUUCGGAAUUACUGGGCGUAAAGCGUGCGUAGACGGUUUCGUAAGUCGGGUGUGAAAUCCCCGGGCUCAACCUGGGAAUUGCAUUCGAAACUGCGAGGCUAGGGUACGGAAGAGGGAAGCGGAAUUUCUGGUGUAGCGGUGAAAUGCGUAGAUAUCAGAAGGAACAUCAGUGGCGAAAGCGGCUUCCUGGUCCAGUACCGACGUUCAGGCACGAAAGCGUGGGGAGCAAACAGG
rnacentral:rRNA from 1 species